rnacentral:tRNA from 1 species
AGGGCUAUCGCCAAACGGUAAGGCAACGGACUCUGACUCCGUCAUUUCAAGGUUCGAAUCCUUGUAGCCCUGUCA